AUGCCUGCGCAGAAUUCCAAGUCUACUGCUUCUACAUGGUCAUCUUCUCAAGUCCCUGCGCCUCAAGUUGUCGCUGGUGAGAUAGAGCAAGUUCUUGACCCUAGAUAUAAGGACAUGAUAUGUUUCAAUUGUGGGGGGCCUGGUCACUAUGUGGGGAAUUGUGUGAAACCCAAGGCUUGUUUCAUUUGCCAGCAAAAUCAUAAUGUCAAUAACUGUGCUGCUUGGACCAAAAUUCAACCAUCUGCUACCUUCUUUGGGAGUGGUGCUAGUGGCUUAGGUUUUUACCAUGUUGAGGUCCCUGUUGCUUCUAAAACUAAAUGGCUUAACUAUCAGAACUGUGUUGUGGUGAAUAGAGUUAAAGGUGAUGUUCUUAAAUCUGAGCUUUUUGGCUUGCUCUCUGCUGUGUUCUGCAAAACUAGACAAUGGCCAUGGAAAAUCAGGGAGUUAUCCAGUAGAACCUUUUGGUUAGGUUUCCACCUUGGAAGAAUGCAGAAGAUUUGA
rnacentral:rRNA from 1 species